rnacentral:rRNA from 1 species
AUGAACGCUAGCUACAGGCUUAACACAUGCAAGUCGAGGGGCAGCAUUUUAGUUUGCUUGCAAACUGAAGAUGGCGACCGGCGCACGGGUGAGUAACACGUAUCCAACCUGCCGAUAACUCCGGGAUAGCCUUUCGAAAGAAAGAUUAAUACCGGAUAGCAUACGAAUAUCGCAUGAUAUUUUUAUUAAAGAAUUUCGGUUAUCGAUGGGGAUGCGUUCCAUUAGUUUGUUGGCGGGGUAACGGCCCACCAAGACAACGAUGGAUAGGGGUUCUGAGAGGAAGGUCCCCCACAUUGGAACUGAGACACGGUCCAAACUCCUACGGGAGGCAGCAGUGAGGAAUAUUGGUCAAUGGGCGAGAGCCUGAACCAGCCAAGUAGCGUGAAGGAUGAAGGCUCUAUGGGUCGUAAACUUCUUUUAUAUGGGAAUAAAGUAUUCCACGUGUGGAAUUUUGUAUGUACCAUAUGAAUAAGGAUCGGCUAACUCCGUGCCAGCAGCCGCGGUAAUACGGAGGAUCCGAGCGUUAUCCGGAUUUAUUGGGUUUAAAGGGAGCGUAGGUGGAUUGUUAAGUCAGUUGUGAAAGUUUGCGGCUCAACCGUAAAAUUGCAGUUGAAACUGGCAGUCUUGAGUACAGUAGAGGUGGGCGGAAUUCGUGGUGUAGCGGUGAAAUGCUUAGAUAUCACGAAGAACUCCGAUUGCGAAGGCAGCUCACUAGACUGUCACUGACACUGAUGCUCGAAAGUGUGGGUAUCAAACAGGAUUAGAUACCCUGGUAGUCCACACAGUAAACGAUGAAUACUCGCUGUUUGCGAUAUACAGUAAGCGGCCAAGCGAAAGCAUUAAGUAUUCCACCUGGGGAGUACGCCGGCAACGGUGAAACUCAAAGGAAUUGACGGGGGCCCGCACAAGCGGUGGAGUAUGUGGCUUAAUUCGAUGCAACGCGAAGAACCUUACCUGGGCUUGACAUGUAAUGAACAACAUGUGAAAGCAUGCGACUCUUCGGAGGCGUUACACAGGUGCUGCAUGGCCGUCGUCAGCUCGUGUCGUGAGAUGUUGGGUUAAGUCCCGCAACGAGCGCAACCCUUAUCUUUAGUAGCCAGCGGUUAGGCCGGGCACUCUAGAGAGACUGCCAGGGAUAACCUGGAGGAAGGUGGGGAUGACGUCAAAUCAGCACGGCCCUUACGUCCGGGGCUACACACGUGUUACAAUGGGGGGUACAGAAGGCGGCUACCUGGUGACAGGAUGCUAAUCCCAAAAACCUCUCUCAGUUCGGAUCGAAGUCUGCAACCCGACUUCGUGAAGCUGGAUUCGCUAGUAAUCGCGCAUCAGCCAUGGCGCGGUGAAUACGUUCCCGGGCCUUGUACACACCGCCCGUCACACCAUGGGAGUCAGUAACGCCCGAAGUCAGUGACCCAACCGAAAGGAGGGAGCUGCCGAAGGUGGGACCGAUAACUGGGGUG